rnacentral:tRNA from 1 species
GGUCCCGUAGUGUAGUGUCACGCAGGAGAUCGCGGGUUCGAGUCCCGUCGGGACCGCCA